AAUGGGUCGAGAUCCUGUUACUCUGUAGUUGAAGACUCUUGAGGAAUUUUCACACUGAAAAAGCCCUACAUGAUAAGGUAUAUAGACAACAAAUCAGAUGGAGGCAAGUAAUAUUCACCUUAAUCAGCUUUGAAGGAGACUAAGAACCUCUAUGAAAGUUAGAGUGAGAGAGAUAUGGGGUGACUAGAAAUGAACAAUUAUGGUUGCAAUUUAUAGAGAAGGGGAAAGCAUACAUUAAAUAAAAAAGGAAAAGCGAUUUCUAAAAAGAGAAAGAGAUACAAGCAACGUGAUCGCCUGCUUUUCUAAUUAUUCAAGUGGCAAGUCAUUUAUUUGGAUUUUCGUCAAAUAUUUAAUAUAAUUGGUAGCCGCAAAACAACAGCUUUUAUUUAAUUGAUUUUUUUUUGUCAAACCGUUUUCAAUAAUUAAAAAUAAAGUAAAAAGUACAAGCUAUGAUAUACAUAUCAUAUUUUGACGAAAUCAAUAUAAAGAGAACUUGUCAUAUAUGUUUAUAGUUAUACCAGUGCAACCCAUGCUGGUUCAUAUAUUUUAACCAUAUCACGACACGCGAUCAACAUAUAAAUAAAUAAUAAUUUACACCUAAAAACUUCUAAUUUUACGUUUAUAUCUUUAAUUUUUUUAAUCUUUCAACUUGGAAUAUGUACAUCGAUCUGUAGAAAUCUUAUAGCUUAGCAAUUGAGUAAACAAUUUAUUAAUACUUCUACCUUACAUUAAGAAGUCGGGAAUUCCAUAUAUUUCCAAAAGUACAAAUUCGAAGAUUAACGAAACUAGAUUAACAAAACUUAUAAUUGUUCGUAAUAUCUAACAUAUAUAUCAUAACUUUUGUGGAAUAGAUGAAAUUUAAAAAAUAAAUCAAAUCAAAUUAUAAAAUUUGAUAUUGAAUAUUUAGAUUUCUGAAAAUAUAUUAUUUGACUUGACCAAGAUGUGUGCUUUCUAAUAAUAAAAAUUAUAUUUUAUUGGGUUUUUUGUCGGCUAAUUCUUGCAUUGAUAUUCCAAAUCAUAACGUUGUUUACUACAGUUUGAAGGAAAUUUGACCAAGCAUAAAAGGAUAUGAGAAAAAAAUUUCUAGCUAAUAUGUAUGCCCUAUUUACUGAAAGAACAAUCGCUAAAAACUUAAGGAAAUUAACUUAAUCAGCACACAAAAUUAAGUAAUAUGAUCAGAAGCAUGUAAACUUUUCUUUAAUUACUACCAUUUUUAAAUAUCCAGCUUGCCCUUUUUAAAUAUCAAAUUAAAGAUGACAUUUGCAAUCAUUUUUGUUUGCACUCCCUUUUUAAUUCAGUACUAGAAGAUAACCCGCGCACAUGCGCAAGGUAAGUUUUUAUAAUAAUAUUUAUUUAUUAAAUGAUUUUAACAUUUUGUAACAUUAUAAUUUUUAUCGGCUAUAAAAUGACAAAUACAAAUGUUCGUCUCUUAACUAUAUUAUAGUUUAAUUAUUUUAAGAUUUUUUAUGCACAAAAAGAAAUUAAGUUUUACGGCGGACACAAAUCACCAAAAUCAAAUAGGCAGCAUUGAUUGUAUAAUAACACAAAAAGAAUUAAGUUUUAUGCCCUUCAUUUGUUUACUAUUGACUCUCAAUAAGUGAUUUUAUUUUCUAACUCUAUACAAUUGUAUUUAAGUUCUCGUCUUUGUUUCAUUGAUAUUUGUUAAGUUUUUUUUUUUAAUUUUCUAUGAAUUCGGUGAAUUACAUAAGUGUCAAUUUUGGUUUUAAAAAAUGGACAUUUGCAAAAAUUAAUUUCACUCAAGAUACAUAUCUAAGAAUCAAAAUUUUGAAAAAAAAACCACCGGCAAACUAUAUUAACAGGUUAGUGUUCAAAUCAGCUGUUAUAGAAUAUAAGUGCAUACUCGAAAUAUAAAUGUUUGUCUAGUAUAUAUUCACCAGUUCGGUCUAAAAAUCAUCUAAUUCUAGAACAACAAAACAAAUUACUUAUUUUACCAGUUCGGAUAAUAUUUGAAUCCGAAGGGGUAAUAUUCGAACCCGAAUGGAUAUCUGAAGAUAACCAAACUUAAGUAUACUUAACCCUAUAUUUAUAGUUUAUUUCUCUUAUUUUAUUCAAAAUAUUUAUAUUAAUGAUGCUUAUUGCUCAAAAUUAGAUAAUAUACAUAUAAUUAUGAACAAAAUCAUUUGCUACUCACUUAAAAUACAUAUCAAGCUCGUGUUUUUCGCAUUAACAAAAAAUACAUCUAAAAUUUCAAAACAAUAACUAAAUUAGUGUCUUUCUAGUAUUAUCUCAAACCUAUUAAUAGUUUAAUCUUCUAAAAAUUUUGAAAACCAGUUAAGUUAAAAUAUAUUUUAAAUACAAAAAACUUAAACAAUGAAUAAUUUUUUUUUCUUCAAAAUUUAAAUAUCUGAACCCGAAUAUAAAAUACAUGAACCCGACUCGAAGCGUAAAAAUACUCAAACGGGUUCUAUACCUUUAUACUGAUACCUGAUACGAACCCGAACGUGUAUCAGAACGCCCACCCCUACGAUAUAUGAUCAUUUGUAUCUUGCUUGAACAAAAAAAAAGUUAAACCAUUAAUCACAAAAUUUUUAAAGUGAGACUUUUACCAUUUUUCUGUAAUUUAUAGUUGUUUCAAAAAAUUCAAAAUAUAAUAUAUAAGAAAAAAUCUAAAUUUUUUUAUUAUAUGCUUAAUGUGAUUUUUUAUUUUCUUUUAAUAGUAUAAAAUUAAACAAAAAAGAAAGAGGUUAGAAAAAUUGUUAUUAAAUAUGUAUUAUUCAUAAUCAUUAAUUAUCAUAUAUAUGUUAAUCAUAUUAGGUAAUUUUGUAGCGUUUAUUUAAGGAAAGAAAAAUAUUCUUUUAUAUACUGCUAAUUAAUUUGUUAGUUAGUUUAAUAAAAAGCAUAGUAUAUGUUUAUAUGGACCAACUUAUUUGUCUAACAAUUUUAAGAAUCAUUCUCGUGAUGACACGUGGCUACGAAAACAUGUUGUAAUGCUCCAAGAUUAAUAUAUAGGGGAUUUGUCAAAACGAACGUGGAAAUACAAAAACCAGCAACUGAUUUUGAUUUAUAUUAUAAUAUAAGCUCAAUACUGGUUCAGUGUAUUAAUUGGUUUACUUAUUCUGGUUAGACCAAGCCUAUAUAUAAAGGCAUUUUACGUUGUAACAGAAACUUAACGAGAAUAAGAUUUUUUUUCAGUGUAACAAACUCUCUCUGCUCUCGAUUCUUUGAAGCUAACAUGGUAUCAGAGCGUUGAGUCAAAAGUUCAAUGAUCACAAUCUCCAGCUUCUGAUUCAUCGAUUCAUCAUCUUUUGUUCAUCUUCCGCUUCGAUCUCAUUUCACAAUGGUCACUCUUCGUCGUUCGACGCGACGAUCAGUCCGACUUGGCGGAUCAGCUGAAAAAUCAGCUAAUCCAGCUCGCACAUCUUCAUCAAACACCUUUCCGGUGCAAUCACAUCCUGAUCCACCUAUUCCGGUGACAAUAUCGGCGAAUCCAACACCAACGCAAGCUCCUAUUCCAUCAUUUCCGACUAUCAACACUUCAUCAGAUUCACUCGAUUUCGGAGGGAAUCAGUAUUCACCAUACUUUCUCACAAGCGAUGACAAUCCAGGAACGUCUUUAAUCUAUGAGGUACUCAAUGGAUCUAACUAUAAUACUUGGAACAUUGCGAUGGCUAUAGCUGCAGAUGAGAAGAACAAGAUUUUGUUUGUAGAUGGUUCGUUGCCUAGGCUUUCUGAAUGGCAUCCACAUUAUAGGAUCUGGUGAAGGUGUAACAGUAUGGUUAAAUCUUGGAUUAUGAAUUCUGUUACGAAGUCGAUCUAUGGAAGUAUCUUGAGGUUUAAUGAUGCAUCCGAGGUAUGGAAGGAUCUGAUAUCUUGGUUUCAUAUCACAAACUUACCUCGUUCCUAUCAGUUAACACAACAAUCUGAUCUCUCCAACAAGGUUCUUUGGAUCUUUCUUCCUAUUAUACGAAGCUCAAAAACUCUAUGGGAUGAUCUUGAUGGAGUAGAUUGUGUGAAAAUCUGUCAAUCUUGUGAGUGUUGUAAGGCUACAGCAAAGAAGAUAAAGCAUACGAAGGUUAUUAAAUUCUUGGCUGGCCUCAAUGACUCAUAUUUUAAUGCACGAGGUCAGAUCAUCAUGAAGAAACACGUUCCAGAUCUCUCAGAAGUGUAUAACCACAAUAUUGCUCCUCUACAGAAUGCAAGGGAAUAUUUUAGUGCACAAGGUCAGAUCAUCAUGAAGAAAACGCAUGUAAGUUAAGGUUGAUUAUGGUUAUAUUGCAGCUGAUUUAAACAACACGGCUAACUUAUGAGAUGUGGGCUAACUUACGAACAUAAAUCAGAUGUAAGUUACGGUUGAUUUAUGAUACCAUUCAAAUUACCGUAAGAAGUGAUUUAUACUCUCUCAAAUAAGAGAUCGAGUUGUAGUACUUAGGGAUCAAAUUCACAGGGAGCUAGGAAACCUAGGGAUUCUAAUAUGAUUUGUUAAGCAAGGAUGUUUUAAGAGUUUUUAAAAGUAAAUUGCAGUUUUAUAUUGAACAAGAGUUUGUUCAAUAGCAGAUGUUUGGGGUUUUGGUGCUUAAAAAAGAAAUAGCUAGACUUAGGGUUUUUAUUCAGGAAAGUUGAAAUUAUAACCCUAUAGAUGCUUAAUGAGUUGCAUGCAUGAUAAUGUAAAGCUCAACUAUUUGAUCAACAAGUCUUUCGGCCUUUGCGAGCAUUGACUUGUUGACUAUUAACUAGAUCUAUGAUCUCAACUCUCGUUAUAUUGAUCUAUAGAAAGUGUCGAUCGAUAUUCCAAUGGGCGUAUCGACCGAUACACCUUUUGCACCGUCGAUCGAUUAUUCAAGUAUGAUAUCGAUCGACGCGCUCUAGUCAAGCUUUAUGCGCAAGUUGAAUAAAUGCUUACCAAGCUCACUAGAUCAGCUCUCGCCUUGCUCAUAGCAAGAAACAAAGUUCAUUUAGAAUGUUUUCAGGAUGAGAAUUAGCUGUGGCUUUUAUCAAUCAAUCCUAGGACAAGUUCUAGGUAGCUAAUAUAGACACAUGCAUUAAUGAACAACUAGGUGGCCGGCCCGCACCCUGUGCGGACAUAAACAUAUUCAAAUUAUUAACUAAGUAGUACAUAGUUUUAUAGGUUACGAAUUUUAUAUCAUAAUACCACCGCCCUUGGGAGAAAGCAUCAGGUACAAAAAAAUGUUGGUACUCAAUAUUUUACAUGGAUGAAAUGGAACAAAGUAACUUUAGUAUCAAGAGGUAUUUAUUGUGUGUACGUAUAAUUGCAACGUUCCAAAAUAAUUUGUAUGUUUAAGAAGAUAUUUUAUUUUCAAAAUCUGGAAUAAAUAGUGUAUAGUUUCAGAGGUAACAUAUUUUAUAUUAUCACUACAUUCCCAUUGAAACCCUCUUUUACCAUUUCAAAAUGUAAUUAAGGACAUAAAAAUUCAAAAUAUGGAAUAAAAAGUUCAAAAUAUGUAAUAAAUAUGGAAUAAAUAAUGUUAGAAAUGGGUUGAGCAGAGAGAAGAUACGAAUUGCAGUCGGUGAUUUUCGAAUCAGACUCUGUCAGCUUAUCAAAACUAUUAACUCGGCGAUUAAAUAUACAGCUCUCUAUGGAGUGACUGCGGAUAUUGUAUCGCAUAUGCGGAUAUUUUAUCGCAUAUGCGGAUAUUAAUAUUAUGAUUAGUUUAAUUUUACAUGGUUAGUUAAUUUUUACAUACAAUGACAUGUGUAUGCAUAAUAUAUAUUAUAUGUAUAAUAAUCACAUAGUUAUGAUUCAUUAUUUGUGGUUGAAAACUAUAAAUCUUCUUAAUAUUAUUUAAUUCAAGAUAUAAUGCAAUCUACUUUGCUGUUAGUUUUUAUUUUUUAUUGUAAAAUAUACAAAUUACAUUCAUUAAUUUUUAAACUCUAAACUCUUGGUAAACCUUAAACUCUUGAAUAUACUCUAACCCUUUGGCUUUACCGGGUAAAUCAUAAACAAUAAACUCAAAUUUUUUGGAUAUACCGUAAACACUAAUCUCUCUCUCCCUCUCUCUCCCUCUCUCCCACUCUCCCACUCUCUCUCCCCUCUCCUCCUCCCUCCUCCCUCCCUCUCUCUCUCUCCAUCCCUCCCUCUCCCUCCCUCUCUCUCCCUCCCUCUCUCUCUCACCUAUUAAUAGUGAGAAAAAUGUCUUUAUUAUUGAUUUACAACAUUACAAUAUCGCGAAUUCCACAAAAGUAAAACAAAAAAAAUUAAUUAAUAGAAAAUCUAACAAAAGCCACAUCUUAACCAAUAGAAGAGUAUACUAUUGAUAACACGUUUCAAAACUUAAACAAUGUAAAUGAGCUUCCGUUCAAACGCAUGAUUGAUUCAAUCUCCGCCAAAGAUAAACUCUUAAUUUGAUCUUCUGAUAAACUCAAGCCUGAAAGAACAUGUAAAAAUUAAUUUGAUCUACUGACGUUGUCUUUUGAUAAAAACAUGAUAAGCUAAGAAGUAGAAUAUUCUUUAAUAAAUUCUCAAUAAAUCUUAUACUUAUAAGGUAAUAUUAUUUUUGGAAUAUCUUGUUAAUAAAGAUAAAUGAGAACAUCUCGUGAAUAGAUUGCACCAGAAUUUUGGUUGACAAGUCUCACCAUAAAAAUUAAGUUUUAAAUGCAUGAUUUUAGGAGAGAAAAUAUCUUGUCAAAUAAUUUCGUUUCUCUGACAUCUAAAAUAUUUAGUGAGUAUUUAAUGGAUUAAACAGAGAAAUGAUCUCAAAAAGAUGUUAUUUGAAUCGAGAAAACACAAAAGAUAAGUAAAAUGCUAGACUUUACUAAAAUAUUUAGCUUUCACAAUAAGCUAUGUAAUAGAAUGUUCUCAAAUUAAUUUUAAAAAUGUAUCUACCUAUAAGUUAGGAUUAUUUAUGGAAUAUAUUGUUACUAAAAUUACAUUUUAAAUA